GCGUCUCUGGCGCAAUGGUAGCGCGUUGCACUCCUAAUGCAGAGGCUCCGAGUUCAAGUCUCGGGUGACGUU
rnacentral:tRNA from 1 species